rnacentral:rRNA from 1 species
UUUUAAAAGACCUUCUUCGGAGGGUAUGCUUAAGGAGGGGCUUGCGUCACAUUAGUUAGUUGGUAGGGUAAUGGCCUACCAAGACGAUGAUGUGUAGCUGGACUGAGAGGUUGAACAGCCACAUUGGGACUGAGACACGGCCCAAACUCCUACGGGAGGCAGCAGUAGGGAAUUUUCGGCAAUGGAGGAAACUCUGACCGAGCAACGCCGCGUGAACGACGAAGUACUUCGGUAUGUAAAGUUCUUUUAUUGAAGAAGAAACAAUAGUGGAAAAACUAUCUUGACGUUAUUCAAUGAAUAAGCCCCGGCUAACUAUGUGCCAGCAGCCGCGGUAAUACAUAGGGGGCGAGCGUUAUCCGGAAUUAUUGGGCGUAAAGGGUGCGUAGGCGGUUUAAUAAGUCUCUAGUUUAAUUUCAACGCUUAACGUUGUCCUGCUAGAGAAACUGUUUGACUAGAGUGAGAUAGAGGUAAGCGGAAUUCCAUGUGUAGCGGUAAAAUGUGUAAAUAUAUGGAGGAACACCAGAGGCGUAGGCGGCUUACUGGGUCUUUACUGACGCUGAUGCACGAAAGCGUGGGGAGCAAACAGGAUUAGAUACCCUGGUAGUCCACGCCGUAAACUAUGAGUACUAAGUGUCGGGGUUAAACUCGGUACUGAAGUUAACACAUUAAGUACUCCGCCUGAGUAGUACGUACGCAAGUAUGAAACUUAAAGGAAUUGACGGGAUCCCGCACAAGCGGUGGAUCAUGUUGUUUAAUUCGAAGAUACACGAAAAACCUUACCAGGUCUUGACAUACUCUGCAAAACUAUAGAAAUAUAGUGGAGGUUAUCAGGGAUACAGGUGGUGCAUGGUUGUCGUCAGCUCGUGUCGUGAGAUGUUAGGUUAAGUUCUAAAACGAGCGCAACCCCUGUCGUUAAUUGCCAGCACGUUAUGGUGGGGACUUUAGCGAGACUGCCAAUGAAAAAUUGGAGGAAGGUGGGGAUUACGUCAAAUCAUCAUGCCCCUUAUGAUCUGGGCUACAAACGUGAUACAAUGGCUAUUACAAAGAGUAGCUUAAACGCGAGUUUUUGGCAAAUCUCAAAAAAAUAGUCUUAGUUCGGAUUGAAGUCUGCAACUCGACUUCAUGAAGUUGGAAUCGCUAGUAAUCGCGAAUCAGCAUGUCGCGGUGAAUACGUUCUCGGGGUUUGUACACACCGCCCGUCAAACCACGAAAGUGGACAAUACCCGAAAGCGAUAGCCUAACUGCGCAAGCAGAGGGAAUCGUCUAAGGUAGGGUCGAUGAUUGGGGUUAAGUCGUAACAAGGUAUCCCUACCGGAAGGUGGGGAUGGAUCACCUCCUUUCU